rnacentral:misc_RNA from 1 species
AAGGAUCAUUACUGAGUGAGGGCCCCUCGGGGUCCAACCUCCCACCCGUGUUUAACGAACCUUGUUGCUUCGGCGGGCCCGCCUCACGGCCGCCGGGGGGCAUCCGCCCCCGGGCCCGCGCCCGCCGAAGCCACCUGUGAACGCUGUCUGAAGUAUGCAGUCUGAGACAAUUAUUAAAUUAAUUAAAACUUUCAACAACGGAUCUCUUGGUUCCG